rnacentral:rRNA from 1 species
AGAUUGAACGCUGGCGGCAUGCCUUACACAUGCAAGUCGAACGGCAGCACGGGAGCAAUCCUGGUGGCGAGUGGCGAACGGGUGAGUAAUAUAUCGGAACGUGCCCAGUCGUGGGGGAUAACGUAGAGAAAUUUACGCUAAUACCGCAUACGAUCCAAGGAUGAAAGCGGGGGACCUAAGGCCUCGCGCGACUGGAGCGGCUGAUAUCAGAUUAGCUUGUUGGUGAGGUAAAAGCUCACCAAGGCGACGAUCUGUAGCUGGUUUGAGAGAACGACCAGCCACACUGGGACUGAGACACGGCCCAGACUCCUACGGGAGGCAGCAGUGGGAGUUUUGGACAAUGGGCGAAAGCCUGAUCCAGCAAUGCCGCGUGCAGGAAGAGGCCUUGGUGUAAGCACUUUAGUGGAGGAAGGUUGUACUAAGUACGUGCAACGUUGACGUUACCGACAGAAUAGCACCGACUAACUCGUCGCC